CAGUGUAUCCGGUUCCAGUCUGAAUUUUUUUUUAAUCAACAGUCUGUGGGUGACAAUUUCAGUUCCGCUCCUGUGUUACCGGAAAAGAGCUUUGCUCAAGCACCGCGCUUCGCGCGAUGCUUUAGAGCUUCGCUCUAUAUUAAAAAUUUAUUUACAUUGAAAUACAGAUUUAUCAAAUGAACAGUUGUCAUUCAGUCCAGUAUCAGGGAGUGAGCUAGCUACGAGAACGUAUAGCUAAAAGUAAAAACGUUGAGAUAUACAUGAUACAUUACUAGCUACGAGAACGUAACUAAAAACGCUGAGAUAUACUGCGAUGUGCUUGUUUUUAGCUACGAUUGAAUGCCUUUAGUUCCAAGUGGCAAACUCAAUUUCUUUAUUAAUGCAUGUACCAUCUUAAAAAUAAGUUAAUUAUAUACUAUUAGUACUUUACACAUACGCAGUCCAAUCUACUGAAACAACAUUCAUUUAUCAGCAAAUUAACAAUAAAAAAAAUCAAGCGUUGUUUUUAUCAAAAUUAAUUCGGGCGUUCAUAAUUACGGCGUUCAUAAUUACGGCGUAUUACUACUGCGCAAUUCUGAUCAGAUUAGUACUUUGAUUGGCUAUUGCACAUGAGGCCCCGCCUAUGUGUUACAGACGUAAAUUUAAAAUGUCGGAAAAAGCAAUCUACUGUCGCUUUGAUUUAAAAAGAGUGGAUUUGUACCCGUUUCAGUUGUAAAGGAGUACAGUUUUGUUACCAAGGUGAUAUUGACACAGCAAGACAGCCCUAUAAUGAAGAUUGUUUAACCGGAAAAAGACAUCUAUCUGAAGGGAUUGCUUUGAAAAAUGGUAAUCACUCAAUUAUGGGUUCUAAGACUACAGAAGGCCCAAAACAGGAAGAUACCAAGCGUUUCUGUCUUAUAUUCCAAUACUUUGUCAAUGUUAUACUUGGUAAAGAAACUCAUAUGUUAAUGACAAACACCAUGCCUAAAGCAAAUUUCUCUUGUGAUCAUACUGGUAUUUGUAAAAGUGAUGGAUAUUUCAGUAAAAAAUCAAUGAAUGGUAUUGAAGGCAGUUUGUAUUGUUGUUCUGAUUCUGAUAAUUGUAAUAAAUUAUCAUUAAUGCCAGGGGUACCACCUAAUCAACAGUUAUGUUAUCAGACUAGUGGCAAUACAGGCAAGAUAACAAAUACAAAACUACCAUGUACAAAUCCUGAAGAUUGGUGUGCCAGUUCUACCAUCACCAGUGGUACGAAUGUAACUAGGUCAUAUUAUUGCGAAAGAAAUCGAUGUAUCACAAAUGAUAUAACUCAUUUCAGUAAAUCAUUCAGUAUUUGCAAAAAUAUAACAAAUGGAAAAAUAAGAGAGGAAUUAUGUUGUUGUUUACACAAUGGCUGUAACAAACCUCCACAGCAAAUGUCAACAGAAAUUGAACCACCUGAACCCAACACUGUUGAUAAUUCUGACCAAAAGCACAGUCAUGGUCCUAAAUUCAUAUUGAUUGGUAUACUGACAGGUUCUAUAUUGUUAAUAGGAAUAUUAAUUGGGGUUUGUUUGGUGGUAAUAAGCUACCGACGUAAAAUUAAAGCUAUGCGUGAAAAUGCUGUCUAUAUGUCUUAUCAACAAAUCAAUGCAGAUGAAGUCUCAAAUUCAGAAACUGCUCACAUUUUAUAAGACUUUCAGAUCUAUAGAAUUGAUCUGAAUUGUAAGCUUAUCAAUAAUAUUGAAAAGAAGAGCAAUGAAUUCUAGUUAAUGAUAAAUCUUGUCAAUUUUUAAGAUUAAAAUUGUUUAUUAAAUACAUUUAAAAUGUAGAAUAAUUGACUGUCUCAGCAUGUAGCCACAAUUUUUAUGUGGGUUUGACAUGUCAUACACCAUGUUAGCUAUAAACAACUCAUCCUUUUUUCUUAUUCCUUUAUAUUAAGUAUUUAUUCAGUGGAAACUGUAUUUCUCUUGUUUUGACCUCUUUCAAUGUUCAUUUCACAUUAUUUAUUCAUCAAGUAAGAGUUAAAAGAUGAUGCCAUUUAAGAAUAUCUCUAUGUAUUUAUUGUGUUCACUGUUUGCCUAGUCUUUCAUUUAUAAUUAUAGUGAUAUACAUUUUUUGUAGAUUUUAAUAUAUUAUGCUGUAUGUCCUAAAUAUGUAAAUAUCAUGAUUUAAUGUUAAAGGGAAUUUCACACCUUUAUCUAGUCUCACCAGAUUGAAAAUGAAUAUAUAAUGGGUUAAUUUUGCUAGUUUCAUGUGAUCGAGAAGUAGGGACACCUGUUGAAUCUCAUGGGUUUUCUCCGGAUCCUCCAGUUUCCUCCAACUGCUUAAGACCCCUAUGUGCAAGGAAAUCAUUGAAUAAAAUUGAACUAUACAUUAGCCCCGAAAUGACCUAGUUUGUGUAUAGUCCACAUUAAACUCUAUUUCUCUCUCUUCAUUUGAUUGAAGUACAGUUGCAGUGGACUAUGAGAGAAAAAGGACUGACCGACUAGUAUUUUCUUUAAGAAUUGCAAUAUUUGUGUAAUAAGCUUUUGUUAAAAAUAAAUAUGUUAAUGUCUGUUACUGUCAAUUGAAGCAUAUCUAUUUAUGUGAAGUAAUUUGUAUGAUUUAUAUUUAAUUGCCAUAAAAUAUUACUACUAGUAUUGGUAUAUAUUAUACACUGAGAUGCAAUGAAAACACACCAAUGAAUUGACUGAAUGCAGCUGACAAUCAACAAAACCCCUUGGAAACUAUAACUUUACAGUGAAAUGUAGGUACAAGGGGUAAAAAUCAGACGUCCAAUGCCGUCUAUCACUAGAAGCAAAAUAUGUGAAGAAAUGUCAAGAUAUAGAGGAGAUGAGCCCUGAAUGGCAACUUGUAUCCUUCUCCACUAUCCUUGCUAUGCUGCUUCCAGUCGCUCUGGUACUCAUACCAACUUGAUUUAAUGCAAUGGCACAUUCACAGUGUUCAGGUGUCAACCUGGGCAUAUCAUUGUGUCUUCUAAAUGUAGGAGUUGUACUGAACCUAGCUUUUUAAAAGAAACAUUUGUACUCCAUGUCUGCACCAUAAAAUUAUGAUUUUCAACAUUCCAUUCUGUCAAAUUCAAUUGACCUGUGGUGCUUUAAUGUGAUCAUGAAAACAUGAUUCUCAUGUGCUAUCAUCAUGGUCUAAUGUUGUCACAGCUAUCAUCAUGGUCUAAUGUUGUCACAUUCAGAAUCGCAAGAUUAAUGUAUCUCUCAAACAAGAUUUAGAAUCAUCCAUUGAUAACGAUAAGAGGAUACUUGUUGAAACGUCGUGCUUUUAGAAUAAACCAGUGAUUGUUUCCCAUAAAAACUGUGUUCUGUUAACAUUUUCAUUGCGUGUCAGUAAAGCAGUGGACACACUAGCCGAAUGAUUCAGCUGAAUCAAUCAGUGCCAAAAUUCACUGAGGGUGUCCACUUCGCCAGAUUGUAGAAUUCAGUAGCCAAUCAUCACUCAUAUCGAGAAGUCACAUGAUUAUUUGAAGACAUGGUCACUGCCAUGUUUAAUCAUGUGACAUGAAAGGUGAUGCAAUCGACUGGUGAAUCAGGCAAAGGACUGUCUAGUGUGUCCACUCAUGUGGCCAAAUGAAUUCAGCAGCAAUUCGGCCAAUUGAUUCGGCAAGUGUGUCCACGGCUUAUCAACACUUUCAUUUACUUUAAAGGGACACAGUGGCAGUACUAUAGAUUGUUUUCUUAUUUAUUUAUUGUGAGCUUAUUAAUUAUUUUCAGUCUAUAAUUUUAUUUUUCUGGGUCAUAAGAAAUAUCAUGCUUUUAUUUUUUUUAGGUUGCACUAGGGACCUAAUUAAUCUCGAGGGAACAUAUCCUUAAAUACAACAUUUUACUGUAUUUCCUACUAUAUAUAUUGAAAGUGUGUUAUUACCUCCAUAUGUGAUACUGUGUAGAAAAUGUGACUUUAUUUAUAUACCAACAUGUGUUUAUAGUUUAUAUUAUUAUAUUUUCUCAAUGAAUUCAGUUUGUCCUAUAUUGUAGAUUUUAUUUUUACUUUCUUAUCCUGUUCUUAUAACUGAUUAUAUGUACUUUGCUAACGAAUGACCCAUAUUAUAUUAAACAGUUCUGGUACUACAGGUAACAAGAGAUUAUUUCAAUACUGCCUUAUAUACUAAAGUGUUUUACACUAUAACUUAUUACAGUAUUAGUGCUAAUUAAAUUGUUGAGUGUUGAAAUACAGCUUUUUUCAUUUUGUACAUUUUAUUAAAAUCUAUGUGAUGCCAACAUUUUAUUUUAAAAUAAAGAUAAUAAAACUGAAUGAAAAUU